UACAGAGGGGGCAAGCGUUGUUCGGAAUUACUGGGCGUAAAGGGCGCGUAGGCGGCCUUCUUAGUCGAACGUGAAAUCCCCGGGCUCAACCCGGGAACUGCGUCCGAUACUGGAAGGCUCGAAUCCGGGAGAGGGAUGUGGAAUUCCAGGUGUAGCGGUGAAAUGCGUAGAUAUCUGGAGGAACACCGGUGGCGAAGGCGGCAUCCUGGACCAACACUGACACUGAGGAGCGAAAGCCAGGGGAGCAAACGGG
rnacentral:rRNA from 1 species